GUCUGUGUGUGUGUGUGUGUGUAUUUAGCAGUCUGUGUGUGUAUUCAGCAGACUGUGUACUCAGCAGUCUGUGUGUGUAUUCAGCAGUCUGCUAAAUACAGACAGACUGCUAAAUACACACAGACAGACUG
rnacentral:miRNA from 1 species